GUCAAUGGUAGCUCAGGCGGGGCAGCCCUCGGGCUGGCCGGUAUUCUUCGAGGCCGGUAUUUCCACCCCCGUCUGGGCUAUCGCCACU
rnacentral:antisense_RNA from 1 species